AUCACAUCGGAUGUUCUUGAAUUUAAAUUACGCAGUUGAAGACAGAGGUCUAAACUCUUUAUUGCAUCAAUCCUUGAAACCCUCUUACCAUGAAAAUAUUACAUGCUUUCCAGAUGCUAUGAAAUUGUUAUGAGUUCAUCAGGAACUUACUACUUUUUUUUUUAAAUGUGUUGAUAUUUGGUGAAAUUUUUCCAUUAAAAUUGUAAAAGUUAAAUCUUUCUCAGAAUGCCUAUGUUCUUUUUCUCGAAAAAGAGUUUUUUCCACUAAUUGCGUAGUUAAGUGGUACAGGUAGUAAAACUUCUAUGGCAUUUAGAUAGGAGGGUAAAAUGUGUUUGUUGAAAGAAUAAUGAUUUUCAAAUGCUUUGUAGAUUGGAGUGGUGCUCAAAGGAUGGUCAUUAUACGUUUUCCAGUAACACUUUUCACUCUAGAGAGAGAAAAUUCCGAAGCAAGGUUGUCGUAAGGUUUCAUGCUUUCUGGGAAAUGAUCGCUUACGAGAAUUAUUUUGCAUGGAGAUGAUAUCUUGGUACUGAUAGCUAGAAGAAUCUUCUACCACUUUAAUAGGGAUGCUUAGGAUUUGGUUCAGCGGGGCCACUAAACAAAGAGUUGAGCUAAAAGAAAUACAAAGACUGUCUCUGAUUGCAAUUCUGAAACAUACAGAAUCGAUUCAGUGGAUAGAGUUAACAACCUUAGAGGUUAUGCCAAGGCCUUUGAAAGAGAUUACGAACUGGAUGUUUCGAAAUACGAAUGGACACAUCCUGCAGACAAGCUAAACAUUGAAUGGAACCUAACAGACGCUCGCAAGAAAUCUAAGCGUGAAAUCUAAGCAGACGCUAGCAAGUUAGAUAUCUAAGAUGCUAAAAAUACCUGAUGUGCUUUGUGAUAAUUAUGAAAGGAGAAGAGGUAUUUUCAGAAGAAGGAAAGACUAGCUGAUGAUAACACAGUCUAUCAAGCGAAUCUCCCUCGGUGCUUUGAUUUGGGCCGCAAAGAAAAAUUAUUAGGAAUUGAACCUGUACUCGGACUCUCGCUCGGCACUACUGGACUUAUCACACCCAAAUUUCACAGACGGCAUUGACAAGAAUAUCAAGAGGGUUCACAAAAUGGGCAUAAAAGUGAACUGGUUUAUAGCACAUGUGAGUUAUGUAGAAAACGGAAGAGCUGACGCUCAGGCCAAAGAAGUGACAAAAAUGCCGAUUAUCAUAACGACAUACAAAAAUACUAAACUACUAAUUAGAAAUGAUUUAAUAUAUUUUGCCAUUGCUCCUUGUCAAAGAAGAUGCAAAAAUGGGGGCCUGGCAAGCGAGCAAAAUGUCACCACUUACAUACUUUCAUCCAAAACGUAAACCUAAAUAGAUUAGAAGGAAACUUCAUUAUAAACCAGAUCCUCGCAAACCACGGCAUUCGCAAGUUCUAUCAAAAUCGAAUGUUAAGAAAAAGAAACUCUGCAGUGUCCAAAUUGCUAUAUUGGAGAAGAUGUGCUUCAUUUAAAAAGCUUUUACCCAACAUUCGAUGACAUCCAGUCGAAACACUUUCGUGCGAAUAAAAUGCAGACUCCAUCUUUAAGCAUGCAUUAAAAAGCAGAUUACAGAGAAUUAGUCUGAAACUAUUCAUUAAGUCAAUUUCAAGAUUAUAUUGCCAGAUUUUCAGACUUAGUCCAGAUGAUGAAAUAUCUGACAUUAAUAUUUUCUAUGCUUUCAUCUGAUCAUGUUAGCGAUGCGACCACUCUAAAUACUUUUGUUUAAUUUUAAAACUAUUUUAAAGUUAUUUGUGAGAUUCAUCAUUUCAGAUUUCAUAACAAAAUCUUACUGCUUUUGUUAUUCUGUAUUAAGAUUUGUUUCUGCCGCUAAUUGUUUGUAUUUUGCUUUUGAGAUUUUUCAAUCGAACGUUUUAAGGCGGGGGACUGUACGGUCUUUCGGUUUCUUCAGUCGCACAUAGGAUGAUCUCCUUGUGGCCUGGGAGAGGUCUGUCUUCUAGCACCGCUCGGUAGCUUUCGCUUAGGAGACUCACGCUCGAACCUAUCGUUCACUAAACUAGGAUGGAUUCCGUCCCACUUUCUCAACUCUUUCGCAGCCAAGCACUUGAAUUUCAUCAGUGCCCUCGUAUACCCAUCGGGUAGGGAUAAUGUUUUCAUCCUCUUAGACUCAUAUAGCCCCAAAAAAUUGGAGGAGAGUAUAAGACCUUCACUUGCUACUGACUAACUGAAGACCUGCUCUUCGUACAGAGUGAAUAAGUUCUUACUAAAUCAUAGUUCAUCAGCACCACAAAAUCAUCCACAAAACUGAAAGGCGUAUUUUUACACAACUAUUUAAGCUAAAAUCAUUCCUAUUUUUUCAUAUUUAUUAUUCAUUAUUUCUUGACCUACUCGUUGGGUUCACGUUUUUAUAUUAAUUGCUUUUCUUAUUACAUUAAACUAUUUUAAUUAUUGCUCGUGGUCGUAUUGUAUUGUCAAAAAAUUGUAUUGUCGAUUGUAAAAAAAUAAGAAAUUUAAUGUAAAUAAUUAUUGCUUUAAUUUUCUUGGAAUAUCCAAAGUGUUUCUGAAAAAUGCAAUAAAAAGAGUAAUAAAAAUGUU